CAUAAGAGAAAGCGAUGAAAGUGGUGGAAAAAAAUAAAAUAAAAAAUAGAGCACCUUUAUUUGAAGGAACAUUUUAAGGUCACUAGUAAUUCUAUAUUACAAGAAAAUAUUGCAGGAAUUGAAAAAAAAGGAGUACCCAAAACAAUAGCAUACAAAAUUUUAUUUAUAUGUGUGUAUAUAUAAAAAAAAUAUAUUUAUAUAUAUUAUGAGCAGAAUAUUAUACAAACAUGCAUUUGAAAAAAUACAGUGAAAAUAUAUAGAUAAUAAACGUAUGUUGAGAUGGUGGUACCAUAGGAGAUUUUUUCCUUUUUUCCUUCCACUCUUUUAUAAAAGUUCUCUAACGUUGUUGUUACUUUAGUUGAUGUCAAAUACUAUAUAUAUAUGGUAUAAGAAAUAAGUUAUGUUAAUUGUUUUCUUGAAUAAUAAGACAACUGUAUAAAAAAAAAAGGCCAAAUUCACCAACUAAAUACCAAAGGCAAUAUGGUUCAGAUCUGGGAGUCAGGCAUCGGAGGGGCGUCCUGUAGGGAA